rnacentral:rRNA from 2 species
UUGAAUGGCCGCGGUAUUUUGACCGUGCUAAGGUAGCAUAAUCAUUAGUUUUUUAAUUGAAAACUGGAAUGAAGGGUUGGAUGAGAAAAUAACUGUCUCUGUUAAAUUAUAAUAGAAUUUUAUUUUUAAGUUAAAAAGCUUAAAUAUUAUUAAAAGACGAGAAGACCCUAUAGAGUUUGAUAAUUUAUUUAUAUUAAUUUUUUAGAAUUUAAAAAAUAGUUUAAAGUAAAUUAUUUAAUUGGGGUGAUUAAAAAAUUUAUUUAACUUUUUUUGUAUUUUAAUAUUUAUAUAUAAAUUAUUGAUCCAAUAUUUUUGAUUAUAAGAUAAAAUUACCUUAGGGAUAACAGCGUAAUUUUAUUAGAGAGUU